rnacentral:rRNA from 2 species
GCGGCGUGCCUAUACAUGCAAGUCGAACGAGUUCUCGUUGAUGAUCGGUGCUUGCACCGAGAUUCAACAUGGAACGAGUGGCGGACGGGUGAGUAACACGUGGGUAACCUGCCCUUAAGUGGGGGAUAACAUUUGGAAACAGAUGCUAAUACCGCAUAGAUCCAAGAACCGCAUGGUUCUUGGCUGAAAGAUGGCGUAAGCUAUCGCUUUUGGAUGGACCCGCGGCGUAUUAGCUAGUUGGUGAGGUAAUGGCUCACCAAGGCGAUGAUACGUAGCCGAACUGAGAGGUUGAUCGGCCACAUUGGGACUGAGACACGGCCCAAACUCCUACGGGAGGCAGCAGUAGGGAAUCUUCCACAAUGGACGCAAGUCUGAUGGAGCAACGCCGCGUGAGUGAAGAAGGCUUUCGGGUCGUAAAACUCUGUUGUUGGAGAAGAAUGGUCGGCAGAGUAACUGUUGCCGGCGUGACGGUAUCCAACCAGAAAGCCACGGCUAACUACGUGCCAGCAGCCGCGGUAAUACGUAGGUGGCAAGCGUUAUCCGGAUUUAUUGGGCGUAAAGCGAGCGCAGGCGGUUUUUUAAGUCUGAUGUGAAAGCCCUCGGCUUAACCGAGGAAGCGCAUCGGAAACUGGGAAACUUGAGUGCAGAGAGGACAGUGGAACUCCAUGUGUAGCGGUGAAAUGCGUAGAUAUAUGGAAGACACCAAUGGCGAGCGGCUGUCUGGUCUGUACUGACGCUGAGGCUCGAAAGCAUGGGUAGCG